rnacentral:lncRNA from 1 species
UCAACCAAUGGGCUUGGAGCAUUGAGGCCAUUGCCCUAUUCUGUGUUCUAGUGCGGUUCUGGUUAUCCCUCCUCUGGCUUAGUACAGAGCAGGCAUGUUGGAUUUGGGGCUUUUGUUUGGUUUUGUUUGGAGACAGAGUCUCACUCCUGUCACCCAGACUGGAGUGCAGUGGUGUGGUGCAAUCCCUGGCUCAAUGCAACUCUGCCUCCCGGGUUCAAGCGAUUUCUCUUGCGUUAGCCUCCUGAGUAGCUGGAUUACAGGCCACCUGCCACCACGCCCAGCUAAUCUUUGUAGUUUAGUAGAGACGCAGUUUCACCAUGUUGGACAGACUGGUCUUGAACUCCUGAUCUCAAGUGAUCCACCCACCUCAGCCUCCCAAAGUGCUGGGAUUACAUGCGUGAGCCACUGUGCAUGGUCUCUUGCUGUUUUUAUACUUUCUCUAUAUCCGUAUAGAGAUGUUUCCCAUGUAAGUUUUUGUUUCUUUGAAUUUCUCAUUUUUAUUACCCCUGCAUCAUCUGCUACCCUGAAGGAUCUGGAGGUAAGAGGCCCUGGGCCAGGGUGCAGUGACCCUGAAGGCCAGCCCUCCAACCUCCUCUCACAGCGGGAGCUGGGUGCCCCUCUGCCAACUGAGACAGUCCACACACACCCCAGCCCUAAUGAUUGUUCUCUCUACCUCUCCCCGCAAACCUCCUCCAACUCCACCUCUCUGCAUGCGCCUCAGAGCCGGUACCAAGAACUGGAAGUAGCCCUGGACUCAAGCUCCGCAACAAUCAAUCAACUCAAUGAAAACGUAGAAUCAUUGAAACAACAGAAGAAACAAGUGGAACAUCAGCUGGAAGAAGUAACUUUUUUGUUGUUGUUGUUCACGAUAUAAAUGCUGGGUUUGGGGGGAAUUCAUGACUGCUGCGUUUGGGAGGCACUCAAAUGUAGAGGUGCCAGUCUCAUGUCGCCCACUCCCAGCCUGGGGAAGAAGGCUCACCCCUCAGAUUCUACCCCAUCCUUCCAGGUUAUCCCCCGGUAACCU